rnacentral:rRNA from 1 species
GCGUUGUUCGGAUUCAUUGGGCGUAAAGGGUGCGUAGGUGGCGGGGUAAGUCAGGUGUGAAAUUUCGGAGCUCAACUCCGAAACUGCAUUUGAUACUGCCUUGCUUGAGGACUGGAGAGGAGACUGGAAUUCACGGUGUAGCAGUGAAAUGCGUAGAUAUCGUGAGGGAGACCAGUGGCGAAGGCGGGUCUCUGGACAGUUCCUGUCUCUGAGGCACGAAGGCCAG